GCUAAUUUCCCUAACAUCAGCGGGUGUCCCCUUCCUCCCUAGAGCUCGGUCGGUCGAAGAGGACCAGUCUUCGGUCAAGGGUAUACGAGAAGCUGCGCUCCCCUGCUAGAACCUCCAAACAAGCUCUCGAGGUCCAUAUCAGAAGUUUUUCUAAGCAUUGAUUUUCUCCCAUUACAGAACCAUAAAUUUUUAAACCUCCUCAAACUUUAGCUGG
rnacentral:snRNA from 1 species